AGAGUUUGAUCCUGGCUCAGGACGAACGCUGGCGGCGCGCCUAACACAUGCAAGUCGAACGGAGCUGAGAGGAGCUUGCUUUUCUUAGCUUAGUGGCGAACGGGUGAGUAACGCGUGAGUAACCUGCCCUGGAGUGGGGGACAACAGUUGGAAACGACUGCUAAUACCGCAUAAGCCCACGGUACCGCAUGGUACUGAGGGAAAAGGAUUUAUUCGCUUUAGGAUGGACUCGCGUCCAAUUAGCUAGUUGGUGAGGUAACGGCCCACCAAGGCGACGAUUGGUAGCCGGACUGAGAGGUUGAACGGCCACAUUGGGACUGAGACACGGCCCAGACUCCUACGGGAGGCAGCAGUGGGGGAUAUUGCACAAUGGGGGAAACCCUGAUGCAGCGACGCCGCGUGGAGGAAGAAGGUUUUCGGAUUGUAAACUCCUGUCGUUAGGGACGAUAAUGACGGUACCUAACAAGAAAGCACCGGCUAACUACGUGCCAGCAGCCGCGGUAAAACGUAGGGUGCAAGCGUUGUCCGGAAUUACUGGGUGUAAAGGGAGCGCAGGCGGGAAGACAAGUUGGAAGUGAAAACCAUGGGCUCAACCCAUGAAUUGCUUUCAAAACUGUUUUUCUUGAGUAGUGCAGAGGUAGAUGGAAUUCCCGGUGUAGCGGUGGAAUGCGUAGAUAUCGGGAGGAACACCAGUGGCGAAGGCGGUCUACUGGGCACCAACUGACGCUGAGGCUCGAAAGCAUGGGUAGCAAACAGGAUUAGAUACCCUGGUAGUCCAUGCCGUAAACGAUGAUUACUAGGUGUUGGAGGAUUGACCCCUUCAGUGCCGCAGUUAACACAAUAAGUAAUCCACCU
rnacentral:rRNA from 1 species